GACGAACGCUGGCGGCGUGCCUAAUACAUGCAAGUAGGACGAGUUGCGAACGGGUGAGUAACGCGUGGUAACCUACCUAUUAGAGGGGGAUAACUAUUGGAAACGAUAGCUAAUACCGGAUACUUAUAGAUGGAUCCGCGCUGCAUUAGCUAGUUGGUAAGGUAACGGCUUACCAAGGCAACGAUGCAUAGCCGACCUGAGAGGAUGACCAGCCACACUGGAACUGAGACACGGUCCAGACUCCUACGGGAGGCAGCAGUGGGGAAUAUUGCACAAUGGGCGCAAGCCUGAUGCAGCCAUGCCGCGUGUAUGAAGAAGGCCUUCGGGUUGUAAAGUACUUUCAGCGAGGAGGCGUUACUCGCAGAAGAAGCACCGGCUAACUCCGUGCCAGCAGCCGCGGUAAUUC
rnacentral:rRNA from 1 species